rnacentral:rRNA from 1 species
CUACGGGCGGCUGCAGUCGAGAAUCUUUGGCAAUGGACGAAAGUCUGACCAAGCGACGCCGCGUGCGGGAUGAAGGCCUUCGGGUUGUAAACCGCUGUCAGUUGGGAGGAAAUCACAUGGGGUCCUCUCCAUGUGUUGACCUAUCUUCAGAGGAAGGACGGGCUAAGUUCGUGCCAGCAGCCGCGGUAAGACGAACCGUCAAACGUUAUUCGGAAUCACUGGGCUUAAAGGGUGCGUAGGCGGCCCUGUAAGUUGGGUGUGAAAUCCCUCGGCUCAACCGAGGAAUUGCGCCCAAUACUGCAGGGCUAGAGGGAGACAGAGGUGAGCGGAACUUGUGGUGGAGCGGUGAAAUGCGUUGAUAUCACAAGGAACACCUGUGGCGAAAGCGGCUCACUGGGUCUCUUCUGACGCUGAGGCACGAAAGCUGGGGGAGCGAACGGGAUUAGAUACCCGGGUAGUC